UUCCCCAAUCCCGCAUGGGCCGCCGCCCUCUGCCCCAUCGCGCCGCCGCCCCCGUCGCCCAAACUGCCACGACCCAUCACCUCCACGCGCCGCCGAGCUGCAGCGGUGGCAGCUGCCACUGUCACGGCCUUGCGGGGUUGGGGUCGAAUGGCACGGCCUAGCCAAGGGACGUCCAUGGCGGGCAGCAGGCACGAGAAGGGGAGCCAAAGUAAUGGAAGGAGGGUGGCGCGAGGGCCGAAAACUUCACCGAAAUCAGGCGAUCAGCAGCGCGUCCGCCGUUCCGCACGAGGCACGGCAGGGGGUAGGGUCGUGGGCAGCCGUGGCCGUGAGGCUCCAUGGUGCGUGACAUGAUACCGGGUAAAUUUUGGCACCAGACACUAAUCAUUGUGGCUCUCAUAAUGAUGCGGCACCCCAAGUUGACGGUGCUCUGUGCCUUGCUGUUGUGCUUGUUUUCUGGACGGUAGUUGAAGCUACAGCUUUUGCAGCACCCGAGUGUUUGGCAAAAUUGGAUUACUUAAUUACCUGUUGUGUUCCAUGCUGGUUAAGGCUUGGGAGGAUUGUUCCGAAUUUGAUAUCGAGGAAGCACACUAGCAACGCAACAACUGGUAAGAUGACGAUGUCACUCUUCAUAAACUAUCGAGGCACGUGGCCAUAGCCAUGGACUUUGCGGCCGGCCUGCUUAUCCUUGCCAAGGCAAAAAUGCAUGACCCAGUUUCCAACUUUGAACGCCGACAUGGACAACGGCCUCAAGUGCUCCAGCAUCUUCUUUGUAGGUAGACCGGCACCGCUAAGGGCUUAGCCAAACCACUUCUUUUUUUACCUAUAUUAACAACCAAUCGCUACAUAUUGUCAUCGGAUAAAUUUGGACGGAUAGGAUUUUACUAAAGUUUAUUAAUGAUACUUUGUUUCAGAAUAUGUGGAGAGGCAGUUUGCACCAUAGUUCAAGCCAGACUCUAGAUUACAUGGCUAAGGAGCUCACUUAUACUGGCAAUUGUUUACUGUCUUUAUUUAAAUUAAAAUGGUUUAUGUACUC